ACUCAAUGUCUAAACAAAAUAUGUUUCUUCUAGGCUCUCAUCAAAAUUCUUGGAAAAUUGCAAGAAACUCGAUACCAAGCAAAAAGAACUUUAUCGACCGUUCGAAAUGAUUCGAGUUUUCGAUGUACAGCCGGUACAUACAUACUCACACAGAGUUAGGAGUCAGGUAGUAAGGUGGGUAGGUGGUGGGUAGGUAGGUGCAUACGCGUAGCGUGGGAAGGUCCGGCAGCUGAGAGCAGAAGGGGCCCCAAAAAGCGGCUGCAGCUUCUUCUUCUUGCCUGUUGCUGCCGCUGCCCUCUGCCUCGGCCCUUCCUCACCCGUGGGACCUGCCCACUUCUUCUUCUUCUUCUGGAUAUACGACCCCUCGACCGAACCAUUCAGAUGCCCGUGAACGCGACUUUUCCGCUUUCCUUCUUUGCCUGUAUACAACCUCUCUUAAUUCUCAGCUGUGCCAGGACCUUAUCGAAUAUCGUGUAAUACGUAUAACGUUGAGACAUGGGAAGGUAGUUUCCACGGUGAUUCCCAAUCGCGGAUGCAAGACGUCGCGACGACAAGGACAACGAUAACCACGACGACAUCCUGUCCCUUGAAUUGAAAGGACGGAGUAUUCGGUGAAGGUCUUAUUAUUAAUUGUUCGAGUUCCUGCUCAAACACUGGAGAUUAAAUCCGGGAGGAACUAAUCCGGCACGUAGUGCCUCUUUAUUCCGUCUGUCCCACGUAGAGAGAAGCCUCUCUCACACACACACACACUCGUCUCUAUAGAUGUUACGUCCAAGGUAUGGUAGAUAGAUCGAGCUCUCUGUGAAUCGUAAAUACACGUAUAUACACUCUGUCCCUCCAUGUGUCUUCGUGAGAGUAAAUACACUACGAAUCUUCGUGAAUGAAAUUUUAACCCUUGAAUCGCGUUCUCUACCUGGAAUAUCUUCUUUUUUUUAUUUUUAUUCUUCUUCUUUUUUUUCUCUUUUUUUUUUUUUUUUUUGUUUAAGAAGCUUCAAGUUCAUUGUAAAACACCGCGAGAAUGUUAAUCGAGGGCAAUGAAGGAUAAGUAUAAUAAGAAUAGGAUUAUUUUAAUCGAAAUCAAGAUAACCUCGAAGAUAACCUCAAAUUUACCAAAACAAUAAUAACCAACAUACCAGAUGCCAACGUAAAGAAGCGAGAAGAUUUUGAGGUUCGUAGGGAAUAAAAUCCAGGCGCCCUGGAUCUGAAAUCAAGAUUGGAGCGGAUCGCAGCCUUGGAUGCUGUCCACUUAGAUAAGGAUAGCCCCUGGAGAAGGAAGGAAUCGAAACAAGGGGGUUCACCGACAGCAGGCCAGUUAUUCGCGCGCCAGAAGGUAGCUCUCGAAAAUUUACUUUGGGCCUAAGUUGGAAAGAGGGAGAAGAUUGAAAGUGGUUGAAAGGAGACGAAGGAAUCGGCGAAGAAAAGGAAAGAGGAGAAAGGUUGAAUAUCGGAGGAGAGAUGAGAGUUGGCCGAUGGAAUCGGCGGCUUCGAGAGCCAGAUGCAGGAUCCGCAGACGGAACGGAAGGAAGCAUUUUUUUUAUUAUGUUUGUUGCGACCCUGAAGCUAGUGUAAAACAACAGAUACGGAGUUUUUACGAACGUGAGAAGGUCGUUUCUGUGGGUGCACAUCAUUGAUCAAAAAUUGAAAAUCGCUAAUUGUAGAUCCCGUAG